rnacentral:misc_RNA from 1 species
GAUGAAGAACGUAGCGAAAUGCGAUAAGUAGUGUGAAUUGCAGAAUUCAGUGAAUCAUCGAAUCUUUGAACGCACAUUGCGCCCCUUGGUAUUCCAUGGGGCAUGCCUGUUCGAGCGUCAUUUGUACCUUCAAGCUCUGCUUGGUGUUGGGUGUUUGUCUCGCCUCUGCGUGUAGACUCGCCUCAAAAUAAUUGGCAGCCGGCGUAUUGAUUUCGGAGCGCAGUACAUCUCGCGCUUUGCACUCAUAACGACGACGUCCAAAAGUACAUUUUUACACUCUUGACCUCGGAUCAGGUAGGGAUACCCGCUGAACUUAAGCGUAUCAAUAAGCGGAGGA